GACAGAGGGUGCAACCGUUGUUCGGAAUUACUGGGCGUAAAGCGCGUGUAGGCGGCCAUCUAAGUCGGGCGUGAAAUCCCACGGCUCAACCGUGGAAGUGCACUCGAAACUGGAUGGCUAGAGUCCUGGAGAGGAAGGUGGAAUGCUUGGUGUAGAGGUGAAAUUCGUAGAUAUCAAGCGGAACACCGGUGGCGAAGGCGGCCUUCUGGACAGUGACUGACGCUGAGGAGCGAAAGUGUGGGGAGCGAACAGG
rnacentral:rRNA from 1 species